rnacentral:rRNA from 1 species
GAUNUGNUUACCGGGCCCCCCCUCGAGGUUGACGGUAUCGGGGCCCGCACAAGCGGUGGAGCAUGUGGUUUAAUUCGAUGCAACGCGAAGAACCUUACCUGGGCUUGAACUGUGGUGGACUGGCGUGGAAACAUGUCUUCUCCUUCGGGAGCCGCCACAGAGGUGCUGCAU